CAUUUUGUUCUUCUUUCUCCGUUUAUCUUUCUCAGCUAACAUUGCAUUGCUGUUUGUUAUUGUGAUCAAACAAAUGGAGUCAAAGAAUGUGACGUAGGAGCGUGGUUACAGUGGAGUAGUUGUACAAAUUCAUGCGGAGGGGGUAGCGCUAAAAGAUUCCGAAAAUUAUGCUGUUCGCCUAGUUAUAAAUCGUACGACCAAUGUGCCCUGAAAUGCAAUAAAACUAUAUCUUCGUUGUAGGGGAAGAGAACAUGUGGUCAAUCUUGUAUUCAUGGCAAUUUUAACAUCUCUCAAAAUAGUUGCCAGUGUAUUGGAAAUUAUACUGGAGACUGUUGUCAAACAAUGAAAGUUGAUAUAUUUACUUCUGGAUCAAAAAAUGGUAAAGCAUGGAAGAUUCCAUUGAUAAGUGUUGCUGUUAUUGCAGUAUGCGUUGGAAUUGGACUUAUUUGGUUUUUAGUUAAAAGAUAUAAGAAGAACUUAAACAAUGACAGCAUACACCCAUCAGAAGAAAUGGACAAUCAAUAAAUGAGAAAUCUUGUAAAUUCCAAACUGUGUAGUACGGCUAUACAUUAUUAUCAAGCAUUGAAAAGAAUUUGUAAA